rnacentral:misc_RNA from 1 species
ACCAGAUGUCCCUCAGUGUCCCGGCACCAGCCGUAGAGUGGAGGAGUGAGGAGUGUUGUAGGAACAGCCGAAACCAUGUCCAGAGUAGCAAGACGAUUCUACCGUGUUGACAGUCUUCAUGCCCUGGAUAAUCUAGACAAGGGAGAGUCAGCAUCCGUGGAGAACAGAUGGGUGUUUGAGAUCAGUCACGAAGCAGCGAAUAAAGUUGGUGGUAUUUAUCAAGUUAUUAGAAGUAAAUGUGGCGCCUCGGUAGAAGAGCUUGGUGAACAGUAUGUUCUCCUUGGACCCUAUAAGGAAGCCAGUGUCAGGACAGAGGUCGAGUUGGCCGAAUUUUCUGCAGACUCCCCACUGACUGUCACCAUUAACCGUCUACGAACUGAAGGAUGGCGAAUACACCCAGGUCGAUGGCUGGUGGACGGCAACCCUCAAAUCAUCCUCUUUGACAUCGGCUCAGCCUCUGUGUCGCUCAAUGACUAUAAGCAGGAGUUUUAUGAAAAUUCAAAAAUUGGUAUUCCACAGCACGACAUAGAAUGCAACGAUGCAGUGCUUUUUGGCUUUAUGGUUGCAAAAUUUAUUGAAGAGUUUCGUAGUGAAGUGGUCAAUUUCAGUGAUGCUAAGCCUCGGGUGUGUGCCCACUUCCACGAGUGGCUGGCAGGUGUGGGUUUGGUAAUGUUGCGGAUGAGGAACAUUGAUGUGGCCACCAUCUUCACCACCCAUGCGACUCUCCUCGGCAGAUUUCUCUGUGCUGGAGCCGUUGACUUCUACAAUAACCUGGACAAGUUUGAUAUAGAUGGGGAGGCAGGGAAGAGAGGCAUCUACCACAGGUACUGCAUGGAGAGGUGUUGUGCCCACCUAGCCCACACCUUCACCACAGUCUCUGAAAUCACUGGAGUCGAAGCUGAGCAUCUGCUCAAACGCAAGCCAGACAUUAUCACACCCAAUGGACUAAAUGUGAAGAAAUUUGCUGCCCUCCACGAGUUCCAGAACCUUCAUGCGUUAUCCAAAGAGAGAAUUAAUGAUUUUAUUAGAGGUCAUUUUUAUGGGUUCAUGGACUUUGACCUCGACAAGACUCUCUAUUUCUUCAUUGCUGGACGUUACGAGUUUGGCAACAAGGGAGCUGAUCUCUAUAUCGAGGCUCUGGCUAGGUUAAACCACUACAUGAAGGCCAGUGGAACAGAUAAGACUGUGAUAGCAUUUAUCAUUUUCCCAGCCAAGACCAACAACUUUAACAUAGAGUCAUUAAGAGGCCAAGCCAUCACUAAGGCCUUACGCGACACUAUACACGACAUUCAGGCCAAGAUUGGGAAGCGCAUGUAUGAAGUUUGUCUUACAGGCCGUCUACCUGAGGCUAGCGAGUUACUGCUUAAGGAGGAAACGGUGAGACUCAAGAGGUGUAUCUAUGCUGCACAGAGAGAAACCCUCCCUCCCAUCACUACUCACAAUGUAUGCGACGACCAUACAGACCCGGUGCUUAAUGCCCUUCGUAGGUGUCACCUCUUUAACGACACCCACGAUAGAGUCAAGGUUAUCUUCCAUCCCGAGUUCCUCUCCGUGUCAAAUCCUCUCUUCGGUAUGGACUACGAAGAAUUUGUCCGUGGGUGUCACUUGGGUGUCUUCCCUUCCUACUAUGAACCUUGGGGCUACACUCCUGCUGAAUGUACUGUUAUGGGCAUUCCUUCAGUCACUACCAACUUAUCAGGAUUUGGUUGUUUCAUGGCAGAACAUAUAGCAGACCCAAUGAGUUAUGGCAUCUACAUUAUUGAUCGUCGCUACAUUGGCUUAGAGGAGUCAGUACGACAAUUAGCCCAAAACUUGUUCGAAUUUGUGCAGCUAAAUCGUCGACAACGAAUCAUCCAGAGGAAUCGUACCGAGCGCUUAUCUGAACUAUUGGACUGGAGGAUACUUGGCUCGUAUUAUCGACAAGCUCGCCAGCAUGCCCUCCGUCUGGUGUAUCCUGAGUUAGCAGUGGAAGAGGCGGCUGGUGCCGGUCGACUCAACUACCCACGACCUCUUUCUGAACCUCCGUCACCCACUUCCUCAAGAGCCACUACGCCUGCCCCCUCUGAGCACGGUUCUGAUGAUGAAGACAGUAUUGACAGUGAAGCAGAGUUGGAGGAGCUCGGUGUAGGAGGAGGAAGCGUUAACGGCAGCACAACCAGCAGCAGGUGAAUGUGGCCGGCAGGUGAGCUGGGCAAGAGGACAGUCUUGCACAUAGUAAUUCAGUCACACAUACUUGCAGCUAGAGGAAUGCUAUUAUGAGUUCGACUACAACUGGAGACAUCAGUACCAGUUGGGUUGUUACGGAUCCACUGUGAGCUCUCUCUCUCACUACCUACUGAAGACAACUUUAAUAUUGGAGAUCAUAAACUAAGCAAGAAAUUGAGAGAGAGGACAUGAGGAAUAUAUGUCGAGAGUCAUUUUGUGUUGUUACUAAAAUGGUGUUGUUAGGGUAUGUGAGCCUUCCACUGAUCUGUUUAUACCCUCUGAGUGUUACCUUCGAGGUUACUGAUGGAUGCUGGACUAGUCAGGUUGUUGUGAGGCUGUAGGGGGGGAAGAACCUUUAAGACAUUUUCCUGUUGGUAAUGCAAAUACCUUUUAUAGAAGAAUUGUUAAAUGUCAUGAAGAUUAGGAACCCAUACCGGUAUUUAUUUUACCUGAUGAUUAAGUAUCCAUAAUGUUAACCUAACUCCAUUUAGCAUUAGGGUGUGUAACCCCCUGUGUAUGGGGUCGAAUAAAAUAUAUCUGAUGUUAGCGAAAUAUAAUAUUAAAAUGAUGCCCCCAUAGUGAAGGAGUUAAUCAGAUGAAAUAAACUGGGUUUCCUAAUCUUUGUGAGAUGUGAAUUGUUGUGUGAAGUGUAACACUGUCAAGAAAUAAUUUAUGAUUAUGAACUUAUAUCAUCCUAAUAUCUCAGAUGUUUAAUCCCAUGUAGCUGUCAUUAUUUCCUUUCCUCGUGGUAAAUGUACCAAUUAUUUUGUGCAUGAACAAUAUUUUUGUUAUAUUCAUAUGAAUAAAAUAGAGGGCUGGAUAAGACCAGUGAUUGAGUCAAGAUCAGAAACAAGACCAAUUACAGUUUUAGCCUUUAUAUAUCACCUGAAGAUUAGGCCUCCCUGAUAAUUUGGGGGUAAUUGAACUUCAGGCUGGUUAAACUGAAGGACAAAACUUCAGGUGAGCACUUGGGGAGGAGGGAGCUAAUCUUCAUAUGAUCCAUAAAGGCUAAAUUUGCCAAUGAUCUCAUGUCUCAACUUCCCUACAUCACUGGACGACACAUUGAUGUUGUCAUUGACGGAUACCUUGCCAUCGAGUGUUCUUGAUACUUUGAGGAACGGUGAAACUUUUGUUGCAGAGAAAUAUUUUAAUGAAAGAAAGUUAUAAAAUUUGUGGUGUGAGUGUUGAUGUUACUGUUAACUGUAAGAUGUUUUGCUAAAUAUUGUUGUUGAGGGAUUUUAAUAAUACAGAAUGGGAUUAAAAUGGGAUUUUAAUAAUAAGGAUAUUCUAAUCUUUAUUAUUAACCCUAUCAGUCAUUAUUUUCCUGAAGUGGAUUAAUUUGUAACUUAGAUUCUCUUAACAGCUGUGUACUGUCAUCCCAUAUAUGUAUACAGUAAUUGAAAGAGAACUUUGCCAGUAAAGUAAGCCAAACCCCGAACUGUUACUUUCAUUGUUGAUAUUUUUUAUUCUUCAGUAUUGUUAAAUUAAAUCUCUAUCAUAAAUACUGUACAUAGAUAAUAUUGUCACUACUGUGGUGAGUGUUGACAGAUCGUGUUUUGUAUAUUUAAAAUCUGGAAUUAUGACCUAACUAUCCCAAGUUUCACGAAUACUUUGUCUUGUGUGGAAAAAUAAUAUAAAUGUUUUCCAAUAUUA